rnacentral:misc_RNA from 1 species
GAUGAAGAACGGAGCGAAAUGCGAUAAGUAGUGUGAAUUGCAGAAUUCAGUGAAUCAUCGAAUCUUUGAACGCACAUUGCGCCCCUUGGUAUCCCGAGGGGCAUGCCUGUUCGAGCGUCAUUUCACCACUCAAGCCUGGCUUGGUGUUGGGCGACGUCCCCUUUGGGGACGCGCCUCGAAACGCUCGGCGGCGUGGCACCGGCUUUAAGCGUAGCAGAAUCUUUCGCUUUGGAAGUCGGGGCCCCGUCUGCCGGAAGACCUACUCGCAAGGUUGACCUCGGAUCAGGCAGGGAUACCCGCUGAACUUAAGCAUAUCAAUAAGCGGAGGA